rnacentral:pre_miRNA from 1 species
UCAUAUAUUUUGUAUGGAAUGGGAUCAUUUGCCUAUGCUUGCCGCUAGGGGCACUGUUCCAACUGCAUACAAAAUUGGCUUA